UUAAAUUACUUGCCAGGAACCAUUUAUCAGUCUAUAUUUGAGGUAAGCUUUGAACUUAGGUCUUUUUAACUCUAUAUCUUAGUUCUCAUCUCUCUAAACUUCAGGUAAGCUCUCUGCCAUUCUACUUUUAGGUGGAAUGAUUUCGCUUUAUCUUAUUGUCUCUACUCUCCUAUUCUCCAGCUGAGGACAUCUAUAAAUUUUAUUUCAAAGACUUUUUAUAUUCCACUUUCCUUUUGUUGCAUUCAAUGUUGCUUUGCAAAGUUAGAGGCCAUCCAUCGUAUCUCAUCAUUUAAGUGCCCAGGCGUACACAGACUUCACCUUGUAUAGGACUUCCUCCUGUCCUACAAGAUCCCUCUCUGGGGUCAUGCAUCUCUUCUGUAUUUGAAUGAAUUUUGGGAUGUUGUGCAAUAUUUGGUGACUAUCAGUAAGGAAGCCCUGUUGUACAGUCAAUCAAUUCUAAGAUUUGCAUAGCAAUAGAAAAGCUUCAAUUCCUCCUACAGUGAGUCUAUAACUUAUUUUUGAUAUAAAUGACAGCAAAAGGUCAGAGCCAGAAAUAGAUCUGGAAAUAGUCUGGAGACUCCAAAUCUUCCCAUUGCCCAUAUUACCUGUAGUGUGGAAGAGUUUAAAAACAUACUUAGCAAGUAAAAAUCAAUAUUAAUCCCUGGGGUUAAUAAGGUGUGUAUGUGUGUGUAUGUGUGUGUGUGUGUGUGUGUGUGUGUGUGUGUGUGUGUGAGUUUAACUUCUAAUAGAGAGACUUAACUAGGGGAAUGGUACCUAUGGAAGCUGUUUUGAUUUAGAAAGUCACUGCUUAGGACAUUCAAUUGAUAUUUUCUUUCUAGGUUUAAUGGCACUAUUCAUUUGAUUAUUACUCCAAAGCUGGGGAAAGGGAAGUCAGAAGGAGCUGUGCUGCUUCAAGUAGGGGGUGGAUAGUGAGAAGAUGACUGAGAUGUAGUGUGAAACAUUCUGGAAACCUCCCUACCUAGUGCUGUUCAUGAAAGGGCAUUGCUAAGGUGAUAAGGGAAAUGGAGAACAGGAAUUACAGAGCUGAAAGCCUUUUAGAUCAUGACCUCUGGUCCUAAAAAAUGUAGGGGGAAAUUACUACACCACACUAGGACUUGUGCUGUAACACUAUGGACCAACUACUAAAACUAAUUCUGGCAAUAGAGGGUCAUUCCAGAGGAAAACUCUAUGUCAUAAAGACAAGUCAAUUGUGUGAUGCAAUGGACUGAGUAUAGGACUUGGAGUCAAGAAAAUAUGAUAUAAUUCCUACUUCAGACACUUGGAAACUGUGAAACCAAAGAUAUUAGAUUCUAAACUGACAUCACACAUGUCCCUGAGUCAUGUCCCAAAUGUUAUCUACAGACUAGUGCUCAAAGGAUGAAAACUAACAUCUCUCCUUGUUGGGGGGUAACUUCCCCCAUUCAAGAACAUGGAAUCUGGAACCCCAUUUCACUUACUACUAGAGAAAUCUUGGACAAUCAACCCUUCCCUUGUCUCAGCUGCUAUUUACUUAUCUAUAAAAUGGGGGAGUUGAAUGAAUAUUUAAGUUGUUUUCCAGAUAUCAUUAUUGUUAUCCCCUAAUUUUUUUCUCCAAAUAAAGUGUCAAAUUGGCUAUAUCUCAGUCACUCCCUCUGAAUCAAAUUUUAUUACUGGCCAUCUGUUAAUGCUAAAUGGUCUUCCCAAGUUGACAUAUUCCCAUUACAAGCACUCAUAACUCUGAGAAGACUUGCACUCUUACAUAGGAAAAUGGUAAGAAAAAUGGGCCAAAUCAGGAGCCAAAGCCUUCAAUCAUGAACAAGUCAAAGAGCUUUAUGUGAGAGGAAAAUUAUGAAUAGAAUGCCAAAGAUAUGCAAAAGAGGGGGGGGAAUGAGAACUUCAAAUUGACUGAAAUAAUCUAGAUAUAAUUUGUUAUAAAUACCCUGGAAAUAACUGUGAAUUCAGAAGCUAGACUGGGCUAGAUGCUUUUUAAUAAGGUAUCUUCUCUAUAUGGAAUAUGCUUCCUCUUCAUUUCUACUUUUUGGAGUCUUAACUUCCAAAACUCAGUUCAUGUGCUAUCCCUU